rnacentral:tRNA from 1 species
ACUUGAAUAGCUUAAAGGUUUUAAAGUUUAAUAUUGAAGAUAUUAAGAUAAGUGAUAAACUUUUCAGGUA